AUGAAUAAAGUCAAAAAUAGCAAAUUAAUCGGCUAAACAAAGUAAUAAUUUUUAGACCACAACAUGGAGAUUACAAAUCGGAACCUCGAAUCGACACCGAAAAACCCGAGACAACCUCCGCUCAAUCAAACAUUCAGACAAUACAUAAUCGGGCACUUCAUAUCCAUAACAAAACCAGAAAUUUGCAACUUUCUAUCCUUUUGAAAUUCGUUUCUAGGCCAUGAAGAACCAAAAUAAUCGAAGAAGUCUGAGUCUCAAUUUGAUUAGCGACAAUUGAACUUCGAAAUUGAAGAAAAGCUGCUGAAUCUCACGUGAAAUCAAAGGAUCAAAAUGUGGGAAUCUAUUACUUUUUUAUUUAAUUGUCGUGGUGUUGCUUUUGGUUUUUGUGUGUUUGUAUAUAUUGAAUAUGGUGUCCAGUUAGCCGGAUUUGUUAGGUGGGGUUCUUUGCUUGCGGCGGCGCUGCCUUUUCUUUUUCUUAUCGCUGAUUGUGUUUUUU
rnacentral:lncRNA from 1 species